CGACCGGCGCACGGGUGAGUAACACGUAUCCAACCUGCCGUCUACUCUUGGACAGCCUUCUGAAAGGAAGAUUAAUACAAGAUGGCAUCAUGAGUCCGCAUGUUCACAUGAUUAAAGGUAUUCCGGUAGACGAUGGGGAUGCGUUCCAUUAGAUAGUAGGCGGGGUAACGGCCCACCUAGUCUUCGAUGGGUAGGGGUUCUGAGAGGAAGGUCCCCCACAUUGGAACUGAGACACGGUCCAAACUCCUACGGGAGGCAGCAUG
rnacentral:rRNA from 1 species